UGUUAAAAAGCUCGUAGUUGGAUUUCGGAAGGUCCUUAGCAAUCCGCCCCUUCGGGGAGCGGGUUGCUGGCCUCCUAUGUUCCUAACGGUCCUCANCCGCGAGGGUGGGGAAUCAACCGCUAGGAUCGUUUACUUUGAGGAAAUUAGAGUGUUCAAAGCAGGCGUAACUCGCCUCCGAAUACGUUAGCAUGGGAUAAUGGAAUACGACUUCGGUCUUGUUUCGUUGGUUUCGCUUGGCUGAAGUAAUGAUUGAUAGGGACAGUUGGGGGCAUUAGUAUUUAGUUGUCAGAGGUGAAAUUCUAGGAUUUACUAAAGACUGACCAAUGCGAAAGCAUUUGCCAAGGAUGUUUUCAUUAAUCAAGAACGAAAGUAGGGGGAUCGAAGACGAUCAGAUACCGUCGUAGUCUCUACCGUAAACUAUGCCGACCAGGGAUCCGGAGAGUUUGCAUGGAUGACUCCCCGGGCACCUUGUGAGAAAUCAUAAGUGUUUGGGUUUUGGGGGGAGUAUGGUCGCAAGGCUGAAACUUAAAGGAAUUGACGGAAGGGCACCACCAGGAGUGGAACCUGCGGCUUAAUUUGACUCAACACGGGGAAACUUACGAGGUCAGGACACUGUGAGGAUUGACAGAUUGAAAGCUCUUUCUUGAUUCAGUGGGUGGUGGUGCAUGGCCGUUCUUAGUUGGUGGAGUGAUUUGUCUGGUUAAUUCCGUUAACGAACGAGACCUUAACCUGCUAAAUAGUCACGCGAACCGGUCCGCAAGGGCUCAAAGUUCGCGGCUCGACUUCUUAGAGGGACUAUUCGCACCCGCCAGCGAAUGGAAGUUUGAGGCAAUAACAGGUCUGUGAUGCCCUUAGAUGUUCUCGGCCGCACGCGCGUUACACUGACGGAGUCAACGAGCGUUUUUCCUUGCCCGAUAGGGUUGGGUAACCUCCUGAAACUCCGUCGUGAUGGGGAUAGAUCAUUGCAAUUAUUGAUCUUGAACGAGGAAUUCCUAGUAGGCGCGAGUCAUCAACUCGCGCCGAUUACGUCCCUGCCCUUUGUACACACCGCCCGUCGCUCCUACCGAUUGAACGGUCCGGCGAGAACUCCGGAUGGUCGGCACGCAGGGGUCAAACCCUGUGUCCGUGCCAGAAGCUGUU
rnacentral:rRNA from 1 species